UACAACCUGAGCUCAGGCGUGAUACCCGCUGAACUAAGC
rnacentral:rRNA from 1 species